CACAUAAACCCCAAGCGUUAUCCGAAUUUAUUGGGCGUAAAGGGUGCGUAGGCGUCCUGCCACGUUUCUCGUCAAAGCCCGGGGCUCAACUCCGGUCUGGCGGGAAAAACCGGCAGGAUCGAGGGUGCGAGAGGUGUACGGAACCCACGGUGUAGAGGUGAAAUUCGUUGAUAUCGUGGGGAACGCCAAAGGCGAAGGCAGUACACUGGCGCAUUCCUGACGCUGAGGCACGAAAGCCAGGGUAGCGAAGUGG
rnacentral:misc_RNA from 1 species